rnacentral:sRNA from 1 species
GCUAGGUGUGGUGGUACACGCCUGUAAUCCCAGUGGCUUGGGAAGCUGAGGCAGGAGAAUUGCAAACUCAAAGUCAGCCUCAGCAGUUUAGUGAGGCCCUGAGCAAGUUAGCAAGACCCUGUCUCUA